rnacentral:rRNA from 1 species
GAUGAACGCUAGCGGCAGGCUUAAUACAUGCAAGUCGUGGGGCAGCAGGACUGUAGCAAUCCAGUUGCUGGCGACCGGCAAACGGGUGCGGAACACGUACGCAACUUACCCCGAACUGGGGGAUAGCCCGGGGAAACCCGGAUUAAUACCCCGUAAUAUAAUGGAGUGGCAUCACUUUAUUAUUAAAGCUCCGGCGGUUCGGGAUGGGCGUGCGGCUGAUUAGGUAGUUGGUUGAGGUAACGGCUCACCAAGCCUACGAUCAGUAACUGGUGUGAGAGCACGACCAGUCACACGGGCACUGAGACACGGGCCCGACUCCUACGGGAGGCAGCAGUAAGGAAUAUUGGGCAAUGGAGGCAACUCUGACCCAGCCAUGCCGCGUGGAGGAUGAAGGCCCUCUGGGUUGUAAACUUCUUUUAUAGGGGACGAAACUUGUGUAUUCUUACGCAGUUGACGGUACCCUAGGAAUAAGCACCGGCUAACUCCGUG